GAACGGGUGAGUAACACGUGGGUAACCUGCCCAGAAGUAGGGGAUAACACCUGGAAACAGAUGCUAAUACCGUAUAACAGAGAAAACCGCAUGGUUUUCUUUUAAAAGAUGGCUCUGCUAUCACUUCUGGAUGGACCCGCGGCGUAUUAGCUAGUUGGUGAGGUAAAGGCUCACCAAGGCAGUGAUACGUAGCCGACCUGAGAGGGUAAUCGGCCACAUUGGGACUGAGACACGGCCCAGACUCCUACGGGAGGCAGCAGUAGGGAAUCUUCCACAAUGGACGCAAGUCUGAUGGAGCAACGCCGCGUGAGUGAAGAAGGGUUUCGGCUCGUAAAGCUCUGUUGUUAAAGAAGAACGUGGGUAAGAGUAACUGUUUACCCAGUGACGGUAUUUAACCAGAAAGCCACGGCUAACUACGUGCCAGCAGCCGCGGUAAUACGUAGGUGGCAAGCGUUAUCCGGAUUUAUUGGGCGUAAAGCGAGCGCAGGCGGUCUUUUAAGUCUAAUGUGAAAGCCUUCGGCUCAACCGAAGAAGUGCAUUGGAAACUGGGAGACUUGAGUGCAGAAGAGGACAGUGGAACUCCAUGUGUAGCGGUGAAAUGCGUAGAUAUAUGGAAGAACACCAGUGGCGAAGGCGGCUGUCUGGUCUGCAACUGACGCUGAGGCUCGAAAGCAUGGGUAGCGAACAGGAUUAGAUACCCUGGUAGUCCAUGCCGUAAACGAUGAUUACUAAGUGUUGGAGGGUUUCCGCCCUUCAGUGCUGCAGCUAACGCAUUAAGUAAUCCGCCUGGGGAGUACGACCGCAAGGUUGAAACUCAAAAGAAUUGACGGGGGCCCGCACAAGCGGUGGAGCAUGUGGUUUAAUUCGAAGCUACGCGAAGAACCUUACCAGGUCUUGACAUCUUCUGACAGUCUAAGAGAUUAGAGGUUCCCUUCGGGGACAGAAUGACAGGUGGUGCAUGGUUGUCGUCAGCUCGUGUCGUGAGAUGUUGGGUUAAGUCCCGCAACGAGCGCAACCCUUAUUACUAGUUGCCAGCAUUAAGUUGGGCACUCUAGUGAGACUGCCGGUGACAAACCGGAGGAAGGUGGGGACGACGUCAAAUCAUCAUGCCCCUUAUGACCUGGGCUACACACGUGCUACAAUGGAUGGUACAACGAGUCGCGAGACCGCGAGGUUAAGCUAAUCUCUUAAAACCAUUCUCAGUUCGGACUGUAGGCUGCAACUCGCCUACACGAAGUCGGAAUCGCUAGUAAUCGCGGAUCAGC
rnacentral:rRNA from 1 species